rnacentral:rRNA from 1 species
AUGAACGCUGGCGGCGUGCCUAAUACAUGCAAGUCGAGCGAACAGACGAGGAGCUUGCUCCUCUGACGUUAGCGGCGGACGGGUGAGUAACACGUGGAUAACCUACCUAUAAGACUGGGAUAACUUCGGGAAACCGGAGCUAAUACCGGAUAAUAUAUUGAACCGCAUGGUUCAAUAGUGAAACACGGUUUUGCUGUCACUUAUAGAUGGAUCCGCGCCGCAUUAGCUAGUUGGUAAGGUAACGGCUUACCAAGGCAACGAUGCGUAGCCGACCUGAGAGGGUGAUCGGCCACACUGGAACUGAGACACGGUCCAGACUCCUACGGGAGGCAGCAGUAGGGAAUCUUCCGCAAUGGGCGAAAGCCUGACGGAGCAACGCCGCGUGAGUGAUGAAGGUCUUCGGAUCGUAAAACUCUGUUAUUAGGGAAGAACAAAUGUGUAAGUAACUAUGCACGUCUUGACGGUACCUAAUCAGAAAGCCACGGCUAACUACGUG